UUAUAGAGAGAACACUGCCUGGUUAAGACCCUUGAUUUCGACACAGCUAGCAAAAAAGCCUGCGACAGAAGAGGCAAUCUUUCCAAAUACUGAAACCGAGGCCCAAGCAGUUGAAAAGACAGCAAAUGUGCUGGUAGAAACUGGGCCUGUAUCUUACAACCAUGAGGAAGAUGUGGAAGAAGAAGAAGUUGAAGAGGAGGAGGAGCACUGUAUAAGCGCCCUUCAGCUAAUGGGAGGAAAUGAUUAUGGAUGUGAUGUAGAUGAUGAAGAAGGAUACUAAUUGUCUCCAAAUGGGAUUGGUGAAAGAAGCUACUGAUGAUGUAAACAGACCCUCCUGACUUCUGAAUGGAAGUUAUUUCCCUUGCCAUGGAUUCUGGUCAGUUUCCAUUGACCUGCAGCUUGGCUUUAGAAUACUUGAAAAUGUUUCUGCAUCAUGUAUUGAGAAAGGGAUUAAGCGAAGCAAUGAUUCCAGAGAACAAAGGAGAAGAGCCAAAUAGUUGGCACAACACAGUGUAUGCUGUUGGACCUGUCUCGUGGCUGCCCUUGAUUCAGUCAUGUUGCUGUAAAGACACACAUGAACAAGAGGAGUGCCUCAUACAGUGUGCAAAAACUCCACAUGGAAAAGCUUUGGACGUGGACUGUUUUCAGUCGGGGUGUGUGUGAUGAAAAGCACAUUCACCAGUAGAAGAAGCCUGACCCUGGCAUAAUGUCCACGAUUCCAUGCUAAAAAAUGGAUGAAUAAAUAACAUCAGUGGUGAUAUGCAACAGGGUGCCCAGGCAACUGUUUUGGGGAAGUAAUCCCAAAUAUAUGGGAUUUUUCACAUGCACAUGCAGUAUUACCCUAAGAUUAGAGCAUCAUCAGGCAGGAAUCUCUUUCCUGCUAUAGGAUAGCAGUAGUACUUAAAAAAAUGUCUGAAGAAGUAACAGGAGGAUUAUUUCUUUGUUAAGGGUUGGUUGCUGUAUCAGAGUGGAGACCUCAAGGCUGCAGGCACCAGUUAGGGCAUCUCAGCAGGGAGAGCCUUUGGUUCCACUCCAAGGAAAUCAGGCCAGGCCUUCUCUUCACUCGUUGCUAUUAGACAGAGACAGGGCAAGUAAAGGCGGGGGGAAGAGUUCAAGGGAUAGGCUUCACCCUCUGGUUGCUGAUUGUGGUCCAUCUCACAAGCUUUCAUGUCUCCAUGAUGGGGCUCUGUAUUUCAAGAAUAGGGUGUUGCUUACCAGGGGUGAGGGUUGGUUGUACUCAUUUUUUGUCCUCACGUCAGUCUCAGUCAGCGUGGCACAAUCAACAGAUUUGCCUCUAAAAAGUUUUGUUUUGUUUUAAAGUAAAUAAGCUACAUUUUCUUCUUGGAUGUAAUUUAAGUUAAUAUUAAUUAAUGAGAUUGGUAUAGGCUCAACCUGCAAGAAACUUGACCUGCUGUCUCCGCUUUGUCCAGUAAACACUAUUCCAGUCAUGUCAGAACUUGCAACCUCGCGAACCUAAGUUUAAAACAGACCAGCAGUUUCCCAUUUCAGAGUCACCUUCCCAAUUCUGACUCUGCAGCAUUGUGGCCUGAAUACAAAGUGCAGUUACUUCUGACUCCUUUGACCUUUCUAGCAACAUGGCAUUUAUUUGCUGCUUGGAGUCAAAGUACAAAUGUCCCUGUGGGUUUUUCUCAUCCCUGUUGUUUGACAGACAAAGAGGAUGUGCCAAGUCAACUUUGUGGGAAAUUGAUUCCCUGCCCCACCCAGACAAACAUACAUCCAAAUCUCUGCAUUGGCCUUGGCCAUGUCGAAAAGUCAAGCUCCCUCUUUUGACGCCAUUUCUUGCUCUCGCCAGUUCCAGGCUGAACUACCCUUCCAGUAAGAGAAUGAGACUGAAAGGGAUGCUUUCCUGAAAUCCAAAGAGCUAGUUCUCACUCAGAUAGUUUUCUUCUUGGAUGUAAUUUAAUUUAAUAUUAAUUAAUGAGAUUGGAAUGGGCUCAGCUGUUCAGCUAUAUCACUCCAGAUUGCUGGUGGGGACUUCCAGAAUUAAAUGCUCUCCCAUGCAAAACAAAAUUCCCUUCAUAUAGACAACGUAGCAUGCGAAGCAAGGUGUCCUAUGUGGAGAGUGUGGUUGGGUUUUUUGUAUGCAGAAGCAAUCAGUCAAUAAUGGAGGGACCUGUGGCCCUGCAGAGGUUGUUGGACUACAACUCCCAUCAUCCCUGAUUAUUGACCAUGCUGACAAGGGCUGAUGGGAGUUACAAUCCAACAAAGUUUAGAGGGCCACAGGUUCUCCACCUCUGUUUGAGUCGAUGAGACCCACCAAACAAAAACAAUUUGCAGCCUAAGAUGGUCCAACCCAUAUACAGAUUUACCAGCUCUGAGACGUAGGCCCAAGUCACUGGGAGAGUGGAGGAGCACUUCCUCUCCAACAAUUAUUAAACAUGGAAGGAGGAGGGGACUUGGGUCCCAUGGGACAUCCUACAUUUAAUUCUUUAAUUGACUGUUGAAUGACUGUGUCUGAAUCUGGAAAAUGAGGAUAGUAAUGUGGUCACUUCUGUUUCGACAGAGAUUGCAAUGACAAGUUAACAAAGUUGUUCACUGCUAGAGGAACAACGCAACCACGCCCCCUUCAAAACAUUUUUUUUAGGGACCAAAUACUAGGUGAUGAAUUUUCCAAAGUACCCCCUCCCGCCCCCCAAAAAAAGAUUCCCAGGAACUGUAAUUUGUUACGGGUGCUGGGUAUUACAAUUUUGUGAGGAGUCCCCAGAAUUCUUUGGGGGCGGUGCUUUAAAUGUGCACACAGGUAUCUCACCUGGGCAGGUGUUUCUUUGUCUUUGGGGCUGAUUCAUGUCCAGAUUGGUAAAGUCUUCAUGCAACAACUCCACCAUCUAAUUUUAUUUGAGCAACCAUCUGCCUGAAAUUGCCACUAAUUGAAAACUUCAUCAGGCAGCAUGGCAGGUCCCCUUGCCAGACAUGCCUCCUUUGAGCCAAGUUUGCUGACACAGAGACUAGCGAUGCCAAUCUGUAGCUUUAGACUACAACUCCCAUCAGUCCCAGCCAGCAUGGUUGGGAGUGGCUGAGCUAUGCAAUCUGGCCAAUCCACGUGGAAUACCAACUGCAGAAACUGCAGAAGGGGGUGGGGGAGCAUGGAGAUUGAAACGUCUUGUUCAGGGUUGAAUCGAUCCUUUGGCAGUUUUUUUUUCCUGAAAAAUGAUGCUUCAGCGCUGAGGCAAGGGAAAUUUGCACCUGCCAGCCCUCUCCCUGCUAUUCAACUGCUAGAUCCUUCAGAGGUCCCAUUGGAUCCACAGCUCUUCUCCCCCCUCCCCUCCCUCCUGCUCCUGCUAGUGUGCUACUUUGGCUCAUUGAGGCUUCUUUUAUUUGGAAUGGGAUUCUGAGGGCCACACUCAAUGAUAUAACGGAGAUAAGUGAUCAGACUGCCUAUCUCUUUAAAUUCUUGCAAAAAGCGCCCACGUGGGAGUCAUAAUUUGGAUUGGACCACAGCACUGGGGAAAUUGAACACCACCAUCACACACCCCUGUGUUUUCCUAAUGAAAUCUGCCCACCCGAGCUGCUGUUUGCCUUGUUAGGGAAAGCUUUUGUAUACGUGUAAGUUGUACCUAAUGGGGGGAAAUAGAAAGCCUCACUUUGCAGCACAGUCCCAUUCUGCUGCCACCUUUUUGUGACUUUUUAUUUUUUUUGCAAAUAUGUAGAGGUACAUCUCUGUCAUCUUAUGUAAUUUGAUCCUUGAAGAAAACACUCUCCCUUUGGAAGAGCUACAGUGGCCCUUUGGUUGCUUAACCCAACUGUCCUGAAUGUACAGGUAAUUCUCUCUCACUUCCAUUCCUUGGUGCUCCGUGUUCUUUUGCUGAGGAACAUCUGUAUAUAUUUUGAGAGAGACUGCAUUUCUCUAGGCAUGCACGUAUACUAGACUUCUGAUCUCUGUGGCAUUUGCCUUUGCCCAACAGCAGCAUCUUUAAGUGGCACAACUUCAGAGCAGAUGCCCAAAGUUGCAAGGCUUCAUUCCAAAGAACAAACUGUAUUAUGUGAAGGAGAGAGGGUUGCUUAAUGUUGGUUCCAAAAGGAACCGCUGGGAUGAGUUCCUCAUUGCCUAGGGUCUCUCCUGAAUGUUACUGUCUGUGGCAGCGAUGGGGAACCAUUGACCCUCCAGAUGUGAUUGGACUCUCAUCAUCUCUGGCCAUUUGCCAUGCUAGCUGGGGUUGAUGGGAGUUGGAGUCCAGGAACAUCUGGAGGGCCAAAGGUUCCUCCUCCUUGCCCUGUGGGUUUGUUUAAGAUUUUGCCUCUCCCGUCCACCUGUAGACUAAGGUCAGGAUGCAAAAUGGAAAAUGGAUGGAAGGUCCACGGGUUACCCAGAGAAGUCAAAAUGGAAAGGGAGAGGCCCCCAGAUCAGAUGAACAAAAGGACGCCAAGAAGCCAUGUAUUUACUGGAUUCCUUAACUGUCUAAUGACUACAAUGGCCUGGUUUAUGCAACACAGUAAUUCAAGCUAUGGCUUACUGGCUCCUGGAGAGGAGCUCACAGCUGCUUUGCUCCUCCCCAGUCUUUUUACUCCCACAUCACACUGAGUUAAGCCAAGGCCCAGGCUCAUGGUUAAGCUCUCUUCUCUCUAACCACAAGAUGGGACCAACAUUUAUUCUUGGCUUCAGCUCAAGGUUUAAUGAGGAGAGAGCUGAACUGUGAGCCUGGGUUUGGAUGAUACGCUAAAGUGCGGGUGUAAAGAGAGCCAGGGAGCAGCAAAGCAGCUGCGAGGUCCUCUCUGGAAGCCUGCGCGUUUGUGUGGCCUCAGUAGGCCCCAGUUUGGGUUACCAGGUCAUGUGAACUGGUCCAAUGGAAGGCCCAGUUUUGGCUCUGUUGCCUUCUGAGUUAUGUGUCUGAAGGCCAAGCCAGAUGUGAUUAUUAAAUUGCAUGUUUCUUUAAAUGCAAACAGCAAUCGCUGAACAGGGGUUGAUAAUUACCAGGAUCUCAGCAAGUAGAGAGGGGGGACCUCAACCCUUUUGCCGCCUUGUGACGUCCUGAAGAAAAUAGCUCCUUUGAAGGUGCUGUUUGAACUGGGAGGAAAUCCUUCAUUGAUGCCAAUAGGAUAUUUCCUUCCAUCGUAAAGAGCAGCUUCAGAAAACUAGUUUUUUUCAGGACCACAGCAGGGGAGGAAAUGGCUAAAGCCCCCCACCGCAUGGGCAGUAAUUAUCAGGUUCCUGCCCCCGAGACUGCUAUUUUUUUUAAUGCACAUUAAGUGCAAAAGAACAUCUAACAUCCUGUCUAGUUGUGUCCAGGUUCCAGUUUUCAUAAACAGGAUACUUGAAAGGCCUGUCAAGGAGCCUUUUGCAAGCCAUCAGCUCUGCAUGGGGCUGUGAUCUUUUCCCUUCAGCUGCAGAAUAACCAAGGUAUGUGUGUGUCUUUUGUCUUGUGGCUGCAGAAAGGUGUCAUUGCAACGUGCCUUGGAAUGUGUAAGGGUUUUGUAAUUCAUUUAAUUCAUUUCUAAUUCAUUUAAUACUAGACAAGAAUCCAUUCCUUUUUCUUUCCUUUUUGGAAUGUUCAUUUCUUCGGGGGGGGGGAGGUGGGAGGUAACUAAGCUCAGGGAAUGGGAACAGAUUAGCAGAUGCCACCUUCUGUUUUCAUUACUACUUAGAACAAUGUUUUUUAAAAGGCAAGUGCAUCAUUAACUCUUGUCUGCCACUGUUAGCAUAUCACAGUGACUUUGAAGGAGGCACUUGGCUGGAUUUCCCUGAAAGUAAUUUGGACUUUGGCAUAUUCCGGAUUCAUAUGAUGAUGAGAGCUUAGAGGGUUUCAAGAAUAGUUGGUUUUAGAUUUCGAGAUGUGAAUCCUGGCUUUUUUCUUUAUUCCCACUAUAUAGCACAUAUUUCCAGGUCAUUAUAUUAGGCAGAAUCCUCCAACUGUGAUGUGGCACUUUUUUUGCCUUGAAGUUUUUAAAUGCUUUGCAUUUGGCUCCAGUUCACAGACUUGCCGAUGCUUAGGUGAUGAAGCAGAUCUUCUACAUGUGCCUGAUUGUGCAGAUCUGUUUUUUGCCAUCUCCUCCUCCUGCAACUUUGUUUUUGAGAAAGGAAGACCCAUGCCUCCACAUGACUGGCUGUUUGUGCAGAGUACCGAGUUAAAACUAGGUGUUGCCUGCCAAGAGGAGGUUAAGCUGGCUCCUCGGCCAUGCAAACAGUGUCGGCCCAGCAAAUGUAUCGACACCAUAUUGGAGAACAAUAUGGGGUGCAGAAAUGUUGAUGGUGAGGCACGCACAUUCAUAAUGAUCCCCAGGCUCUUCUGUAUCUCAAUCAAUUCACGAAAGCUGCUCUCUUCAGUACAGAGUCUUAAACGGGGGAUGCAUAGCAUUGUCUUAAAAGUGGCCUCCAUGUUCAUUCCAGUUGUUUUUGGAUUGUGUGGGAGUUCAUCGUCUCCUGCUGUUUUUAUGUAGCACUCAUUGCAUUGUGAUUGCACCGCUUUGUCACUCAUUAACAAGGCCAACACAUUCACUACACGUGAGUGUCAGCGAGUUGAAAUUAUCUGCAAGCAUCUUGCAUGGCCCUUCCAACCCACAUCAUGAGGGACGGCCCACUAUUCCCCCCGCAGCAAAUGUAAUAUCUGAUGUAAAUAUUUAUAAAGUUAUCUUUUAUUAUGUGUUCUUGCAAAUACUGGCCUUCCGUUGGUUUGUUGUUUUAUAAAAUGUAUGUUUUAACUUCUGUGUGACUUGAACAGCAGUGUACAAAAUAUCCAGUGUGUACCCUUAUUUUGUGUCUACAAAGCAAGCCGUUUCUAAACAUGUAA